AAAGUCUGGCCUGCCCUAUGAAUUAUUUUUAAAUGGCUGCGGUACUUUGACCGUGCAAAGGUAGCAUAAUAAUUAGUUUCUUAAUUGGGAACUGGAAUGAAUGGUUUGACGAGAGAAGGACUGUCUCAAUUUAAUUUAAAUUAGAACUUUAUCUUUAAGUAAAAAAGCUUAAAUAAUCUUAAAAGACGAGAAGACCCUAUAGAGUUUUAUAUUCGUUUAUAUAAUUAAUAGUUGAAGAAUCUUACAAUAUUUAGUUAUAUGAAUUAGUAUUUGGUUGGGGCAAUUAAAAAAUUGAAUGAACUUUUUUUAAAUUAUAACAUUGAUAUAUGAGUAAGUGAUCCA
rnacentral:rRNA from 1 species